AUAGCAUGAUGUGGACAAUUGUGGAUGAGAUCUUUGAGUCUCUUCCAAGUUUUAUGAAAUAUCUCCCCAUUCAUCUGGAAAAAAUUGGUAAUGGCUUUUCUGAUUU